rnacentral:snRNA from 1 species
GUCACUUUCAGGCCUUUUGGCUGAAAUCAAGUAUAUUAUCUGUUCUUAUCAGCUUAAUAUCUGAUAUGUCCUCAAUGAAAGAACUUUAUAUUAAACAGAUUUUUGGGCUCAAUUCUGUGCUGUGGGCUGGGCACCAGGAACUGCUGCUGGCAGCUCCACAGCACAACCAAA